rnacentral:rRNA from 1 species
UGGGGAAUAUUGGACAAUGGGCGCAAGCCUGAUCCAGCCAUGCCGCGUGAGUGAUGAAGGCCUUAGGGUUGUAAAGCUCUUUCGGCGGGGAAGAUAAUGACGGUACCCGCAGAAGAAGCCCCGGCUAACUCCGUGCCAGCAGCCGCGGUAAUACGGAGGGGGCUAGCGUUGUUCGGAAUUACUGGGCGUAAAGCGCACGUAGGCGGGUCGUUAAGUCGGGGGUGAAAUCCUGGGGCUCAACCUCAGAACUGCCUUCGAUACUGGCGACCUUGCGUACGGGAGAGGUGAGUGGAAUUCCCAGUGUAGAGGUGAAAUUCGUAGACAUUUGGAAGAACACCAGUGGCGAAGGCGGCUCACUGGCCCGUAACUGACGCUGAGGUGCGAAAGCGUGGGGAGCAAACA